UACGUAGGGCGCAAGCGUUAUCCGGAAUUAUUGGGCGUAAAGAGCUCGUAGGCGGUUUGUCGCGUCUGCCGUGAAAGUCCGGGGCUCAACUCCGGAUCUGCGGUGGGUACGGGCAGACUAGAGUGAUGUAGGGGAGACUGGAAUUCCUGGUGUAGCGGUGAAAUGCGCAGAUAUCAGGAGGAACACCGGUGGCGAAGGCGGAUCUCUGGGCAACAACUGACGCUGAGGAGCGAAAGCGUGGGGAGCGAACAGG
rnacentral:rRNA from 1 species